AUUAUGGAGAGUUUGAUCCUGGCUCAGGACGAACGCUGGCGGCGUGCCUAAUACAUGCAAGUCGAGCGGAGUUGAUGAGAAGCUUGCUUCUCUGAUACUUAGCGGCGGACGGGUGAGUAACACGUAGGCAACCUGCCCACAAGAUCGGGAUAACAUUCGGAAACGAAUGCUAAGACCGGAUAAACAGUCCUCUCGCAUGGGAGGGCUGGGAAAGACGGAGCAAUCUGUCACUUGCGGAUGGGCCUGCGGCGCAUUAGCUAGUUGGUGAGGUAACGGCCCACCAAGGCGACGAUGCGUAGCCGACCUGAGAGGGUGAACGGCCACACU
rnacentral:ncRNA from 1 species